AUACUUACCUGGCGGGGGAGAUACCAUGAUCACGAAGGUGGUUCACCCCAGGGCGUAGGCUCGCCUUGCACUUGGUCAGCUGACCCUGCGAUUCCCCAAAUUGUGAAUCUCGACCGCAUAAUUUCUGCUAGUGGGGGACUGCUCUCGCUCUCCCUGA